rnacentral:piRNA from 1 species
UAGAGAUGGCGUCCCAAGGAGGAGG